AGUCUGGUCUACAGAACAAGUCUGGGUUCUAGGACAGCUGGAGAGGGGCAUUUAUUCAGAGAAAUCUUGUGUGUAUGGGAUGGAGUGGCAGGGGUGCAGGUAGUAUUCCUUGACAGAAUAAGUUAACAAGAAUUCACUGGGCACCAUUUAGCAAGUUUAUUCUAAGCCUGUAUGUAAGAAUUGAUAUAAGAAAUACAAUGGCAUACACAUGUCAAAUAGAUGAUAAAAGAAACAUGAACUCUUACAUGUUAUUCCCUGUCCUGGAUAGUUUUAUGUCAGCUUGACUGACUAGAGUUACCAGAGAAGAGGGAGCCUCUAUUGAAAGAAUGCCUCUGUAAGAUUGAGCUGUGGACAUUUUCUUAAUUAGUAAUUGAUGAGGGAGGGGGCCCAGCCCAUUGUAGUGGUGCGAUCCCUAGGCUGGUGGUCCUGGACUCUAGAAGGAAGCAGGCUAAGCAAACCAUGAGGAGCAAGUGUAAGCAGCACCCCCAUGGCCUCUGCUUCAGUUCCUGUUUCCGGGGCCCUGCCCUGUUUGAAUCCCUGUCCUGACACCCUUCAAUGGUGAACAGUGAUGUCAAAGUGUAAGCAAAAUAAACCAUAUGCAUCUCCGAGUUGCUUAUGGUCAUGAUGUUUCAUCACAACAAUAAUAAACCUUAACUAGGACACUUCCUACUCUACAAUCUGUAUAAAAGUCUGAGCUUCAGUAGACGCAGGAGGAUUAGAAGUUCCAGGUCAUCCUCAUCUACAGAGUUUGAGGCCUACCGCAAAAACAAAACAAAAAAUAAAACCCACAUUUUAUUGAAAGUUUAGUUCCAAGUCUGUGUAAUACUCCAGAUAAAUCUUGGUGUGUUUUCCCCAGUCUGUAGUGUUGCCAAGAUUCCAUUAUAAACUUACAUUUAAUUUCAGUAGUAUUUCACACUCUUGCUUUUUAUCUAACUGGGAUUUACUUGGGAUUUGGGAACAGGCCUAAAAAUAUCCCAAGUGUAUCUUCCCGUGGCAUUUUCUCCAAGCCCAGUGCUGCUGAUUAUGGGAACAUAACCUCCCAAGGCUCAUCUCACUGAAGUGGCAAGACUGGUUCUCCUGGAGGCCAGGAACACAAUAUGAUAGAUUUAUUUCAAACAAGUGGAUUUAAAAAGUUUCCUGAACUUCUCUAUGUAAAGACUCUAUUGUAGAAGCCAUAAGCAGGUCUCCCUCCCUUCCAGAAUAAUCAAUAGGAACAAAGUUGCAAAGAAAAUUCUCAGACAAGUCAAGUUUCCAAAGAAGACUGACACCAGACCAGCUGCCUGAAAGACGUUUAGACCAACUGAUGUGCCUGGAAAGGAUACUCUUUAACCUGCUGGUUUGUGUGCAGUCUGUAAGGUGUGCUCCAUGUUCCCAGCAUUGUCAGAUGUCACCCUGCUAGGGUGAGCUUUGGUGAUACAACUGUUUUAGAGUCAUUUCUGCUCCUGUAAGUAACUCCUCAUCCACAUUCCUGCAAAUAACCCCAAUAAAACUCAUUGGUUCACCAAAA